UAUAAUAUUUUUGUGAAUUUUGAAAGUAAUUCAACAAUUUAAAAAAGAAAUAUUGGCAUUGAGAGCUCAACAUUAAGGUUGAAGAAGAAAGCCAUUUAACAUCCAAAUGGAUUAUCUUACAUUUCUCUUAGUUGGUAAGUACAAUUAAUCUCAUGUUUUUUAUGUUUGUUUUUAACUAAAUUUUUGAAAAGUCUACAAAUUUGGAAUCAAUAUCAAUGGUUUGAACAUUAAUUGUUGAUGUUUCAAUCUGCUAAAGGAUUUGUUAAAAGUUUGUUCAAGAUUUAGGAUUUGAUUAGAUUUGGUCUAAGAUUUAGGAUUUAUUUAAGAUUUAUUUAGGAUUUGGUUAAGAAUUCAUUAAAAUUGGUUUAGAAUUUGGUUAGGAUUUGAU
rnacentral:lncRNA from 1 species